rnacentral:rRNA from 1 species
AUUGAACGCUGGCGGCAGGCCUAACACAUGCAAGUCGAACGAUUGGCGGACGGGUGAGUAAUGUCUGGGACACUGCCCGAUGGCGGGGGAUAACUACUGGAAACGGUAGCUAAUACCGCCUACCAUCGGAUGUGCCCAGAUGGGAUUAGCUAGUAGGUGGGGUAACGUGUCAUCUAGGCGAAGAUCCCUAGCUGGUCUGAGAGGAUGACGAGCAACACUGGAACGGAGCCACGGUCCAGACUCCUACGGGAGGCAGCAGUGGGGAAUAUUGCACAAUGGGAGCAAGCCGGAUGCAGCCAGGCCGCUUGUAUGAAGAAGGCCUUCGGGUUGUAAAGUACUUUCAGCGAGGAGGCGUUACGCGCAGAAGAAGCACCGGCUAACUCCGUGCCAGCAGCCGCGGUAAUUC